CGUUCUGCGGUAGUGAUCCCGGCGCGUUGGCGGGUUGGCCAGGACUUGUCACUGGAGGAGGCUGGUUUAUUUAGGGAACCCAGAGUUGAAAGGUACCUAGCACUGCGUCGGAUGGACGCGCAGCCGCUCCGGUGGAGCGGAGAAGAAGAGUAACCGUGGAGACUCCGGGCUCUCCCGAGGAUGGCUGCGGAGGGACGGCACGUCACGUGGUGCGGCUUCCGGCUCCCGCGCGCGCUGGGGCUUUGGGACAGUUUUAAAUGCGGAGUCAUCUUUUGAUUCGUGAGCUUAGAUCGGACGGGAGGCUAGUUCGCGCGUCUUGCAAAGAAUAGACUUUGUGAAGUUGUGUGCACGUCUAAAGGAGAGGAAAGCCUUAUUACCCAAGUGCUGUGAUUUGCACUCUGGCCAGCACACAGUGACUAACCACAUCAGAAACCCAUGCCCUUGACUCACCAACUUGCUUGGCCUGUCACAAGAAAUCAGAGUUUGUCGGCAUCUUGGUGUGCAAUUCAUUGGGAGUUUGACCUGUGACGUCCAAACAAAUCUAGUCUUUGUGUCAACAUUUCACGGAACAGACUCCUGUUUAACACUGCCACUUUUCCUGGUCCAAGGAAUUUGGGGACAAAUAAAAUGUAAUGUGGAUGUGUUAAUUUUAUAUUCAAAAAGCAA